UACGAGGGGGGCGAGCGUUGUUCGGAAUUAUUGGGCGUAAAGGGCGCGUAGGCGGUGCGGUAAGUCACCUGUGAAACCUCUAGGCUUAACCUAGAGCCUGCAGGCGAAACUGCCGUGCUGGAGUGUGGGAGAGGUGCGUGGAAUUCCCGGUGUAGCGGUGAAAUGCGUAGAUAUCAGGAAGAACACCAAUGGCGAAAGCAGCUUUCUGGGACGGUACUGACGCUGAGACGCGAAAGCGUGGGGAGCGAACAGG
rnacentral:rRNA from 1 species